rnacentral:sRNA from 1 species
AUGUACUCCUCGUACCCUGCGGCUCUGAGCGCGCCGUCCACGCCCACUUGACGACUGCGCGCUACGUUCUGAUAGCC